AGGCAGGCUAUGAAGAGGUGCAUAGGGUGAGAAACAGAGGCUUCCAGAAAACAGCUGGGGAGAAGCUGAGUCCCAUCAACAAUUCAAAGGACUGCAGCUCCAGCCAACACUUUGAUGUAAUCUCAUGAGAGAGACUCUGAAUCAGAACCACCUAGAAAUUCUGGGAUCUGCAAUGGCUGCCAUUCCUCGAGUCACAUGCUGUUUAGCUGCCACUGUUGGACUUGACUCUCUGUCCUUGGAUGGACUUUGAAAAUCCCUGGGAAGCUCUUGGAGUCAGAUGAUCAGGCCUCCAUCCCUCUGCCAAAAAGUCUGUUCAACAAAGAUCUCUUCGAGACUGUCCAACAAAUAGUCAAAGGAUGUGAAGCAUGCCAGAAAAACAAUCCUUUGGCACAUUGCAAAGCUCCUCCUGGGGAAAAGCAAGCCUGUCCUUACCCAGAGGAGGACUGGAAAAUGGACUUUUCUCAUAUGUCUUGAUGAACACCUGUUUUCUAAGUCCUGAAUCUGUCAUCAUAGAUCCAAUCCUGUUGCCUUCCAAAUCUUAGACUUCAUAUUCAAAUUAGAGAAUAAAAAUUUACAAACAGACCCUUGCACCUGGGAUGCAGAAAAAUUAUUAAUUGUUUUCCUAUGUCUUACAUAAAAUACCAAACAGUUUUAAUUUAUUUGUUGUAAGACAGCCUUGAAAUAGAGUAUUUGCAUGUGAGUUUAAAUAUUAUGGAUCGUUUUCUUCUUUAGAACAGUCUCAUGUUACAAAGAAACAUUUUGGUACUGUAAGAAUGCAAAGGAAAGCAUAAAACUAAGAGGAAAAGUACUAACAAUAUUUCCCCCCACUGGGCUUAGUUCAAAUAACAAAUCAGCUGCAGAAUAAGAGCAGCGUGUUAUAACUCUCCUAUUGUUAUAUGUGCUGCUGUAAAACUCAUCUUCCAUAAUUCAGAACACAUGACACAUAAUUGACAGAAAGAUAUAAAACAUGCUAAUAACAAGGGGAUCACCAGCAAUAAGAGGAAAUACAGAAAUCUCUCUCCCAAGCUUGUCAAGGCACUUCUCUGCUUAGUAUUUAGGAACUCCCUUGGAAAUACCUGCAAAGAUUUUGAAGAAAGCAAGCUUCACAUCAGAAAG
rnacentral:lncRNA from 1 species